rnacentral:rRNA from 1 species
GAUGAACGCUAGCGGCAGGCUUAACACAUGCAAGUCGAGGGGUAUAGUUCUUCGGAAUUAGAGACCGGCGCACGGGUGCGUAACGCGUAUGCAAUCUACCUUUCACAGAGGGAUAGCCCCAGAGAAAUUUGGAUUAAUACCUCAUAGUAUAGUACUUUGGCAUCAAGGAACUAUUAAAGUCACAACGGCAAAGAUGAGCAUGCGUCCCAUUAGCUAGUUGGUAAGGUAACGGCUUACCAAGGCUACGAUGGGUAGGGGUCCUGAGAGGGAGAUCCCCCACACUGGUACUGAGACACGGACCAGACUCCUACGGGAGGCAGCAGUGAGGAAUAUUGGACAAUGGGCGCAAGCCUGAUCCAGCCAUGCCGCGUGCAGGAUGACGGUCCUAUGGAUUGUAAACUGCUUUUGUACAGGAAGAAACACUACUUCGUGAAGUAGCUUGACGGUACUGUAAGAAUAAGGAUCGGCUAACUCCGUGCCAGCAGCCGA